rnacentral:rRNA from 1 species
AUUGAACGCUGGCGGCAGGCCUAACACAUGCAAGUCGAGCGGAUGACGGGAGCUUGCUUCUUGAUUCAGCGGCGGACGGGUGAGUAAUGCCUAGGAAUCUGCCUGGUAGUGGGGGACAACGGUUCGAAAGGAAGGCUAAUACCGCAUAAGUCUUACGGGAGAAAGCAGGGGACCUUCGGGCAGUGCGCUAUCAGAUGAGCCUAGGUCGGAUUAGCUAGUUGGUGAGGUAAUGGCUCACCAAGGCGACGAGCCGUAACUGGUCUGAGAGGAUGAUCAGUCACACUGGAACUGAGACACGGUCCAGACUCCUACGGGAGGCAGCAGUGGGGAAUAUUGGACAAUGGGCGAAAGCCUGAUCCAGCCAUGCCGCGUGUGUGAAGAAGGUCUUCGGAUUGUAAAGCACUUUAAGUUGGGAGGAAGGGCAGUAAGUUAAUACCUUGCUGUUUUGACGUUACCGACAGAAUAAGCACCGGCUAACUCUGUGCCAGCCGCCGCCGUAA